AGAGUUACUUGUGGAAGAACCUACUUUGGAGAGAGAGAGAAAUUCCUCUUGCAUCUGUCCUGGGGUGAAGAAGAAGAAAGAGAGAAUUUUUCUUUUCCUGUCCUUUUUUUUUUUAAAUGAUGGCGUCUUUCAGGGGAGCAAUUUGCCUAGCAGAAGGCACUGUAUACAACUGAGAGGAAGCACAGACAGAGAGUUUAGCUUUGGAGUUGAAUUGACCUGGAGAAGAGUAGAUCUUGGGAAACUCUGUGAAGCCAUCUGUCCAUGAAAGAUGUCAGACCCAACAUUAAGCAGCAUGAGAACAACAUAAGAAUUUAAGCAGUGGAAAUCUGGGUUUCUGGGUUACAGUUCUUGCAAUAUACUUGUGAGAGUUGCUUCUUCUAGACUCUGAGUCAUGAAAUUCCAACCACUUGGCCAACUUGAAAUUCCCUGAGAUCUGAUUCUGAAGUUCAGCACCAGAUGCUGCUGCCGCUGCCUACAACUUAUUACUCUCCUCUCUUCAUCUGGACUCCAUUGGGCAGGGUCAGCUAUAUGCUCCUUGUCAGCCUGAAGCAGUUCCAGAAGAUGAGACCUUUGUCCCUUUUUCCCAAAUGAGUCUGGAUCUGGACUACUUGAGGUGACAAUGGACCCAAGGUCCCCGGACCUCCACAGUGCUGCAGUUCUAUGGCUGCCAGAUACCAAUUUGUUCUGUGAGAGGAUGGAUUACAGUUAGUACUGAAGAGGGACCAGCCUGAAGGCCUAGGUCACAGAGAUACCCUAGUGGAAAAUGUAUAUAUUGGGGUGAGAAAUCUUCAAACUGGUGAAAAAGAAGGGGGACUGAAUGGGACUGAUUGGAUGAAGUAUUUCUCAGUAUUGAGUCACAUGAUCCCUGUUCCCAGAGUUGGGUCCUUGGGAGGGGUCAUAUUUCUGGAGGGAAGAACUUUGAACCCUGGGAUACAGGAAGUUACAGGAAGUGACCUGACCUGUGGGAGGCAGCCAACAUUGGUGACCAUUGGUCAAGGAUGGUUAUGUCCUUUUAGUCUCCCCAGUGAGAAGGCUCAGGUCUUUUGCGUUUAAGUCUUGAACAAGCAGGAAGCUGGCCAGGUUCCAGGAGCACAUGGUGGAGUUGGGAUGGCUCCCAAGUGUGUCUGGGUCUCUCUCUGCAGGGAUUAAAUAGAUGCUUUCUUUUUGUACCUGAUGCUGCCUCUGAUUAGUUAACUGGGAAGGGGGUCUUGCACCUGACCUGUCCCAGAAAUAUAUACACACACACACACACACAUUUAAAAAAGACUCACAUCAACAAUAGGGUAGCUCAAAAGAAAGAUUGGCAGAGUUAAGUUUAAAAAUAGCAAUCAUGUUACACAAAUGAGGUGCAGAUGAAGAAUAGACUCAGAGGCAUGGAGGGAGGAGAGGAGAGCUCAUAGUUUUGAAAAUCUACUCACAUCAGGAGUGGGUUGAAUAGGUAACACUACACAUAUACCAUGAAGGGUAGAGCACCCUCCAAAAUCUUUUAAGAAAUAAGGGGGAAGCAAUGGACAGAUAGGAAAGCAAAGGGUAAGGGAAAAAGACAAGAGAGGGAUCCUUGGGUGGAGGGAUGUUAAGGAAGAGCAAGAUAAGUUAUGGAGCAGAAUUUAAUUACAGAGGCAGCAAGGAUAGGAAAGACGUGUGUGUGUGUGUGUGUGUGUGUGUGAGUGUAUGUUUCUAACUAUCUAUAUAUGUAUAUAUAAAUAUAUCUUUUCUUAAAUGUAGCUUGCUUGGGAGUAGUGAGGAGGAUAAAAGGAAGAAAAACAGUAAAUAAGGUGUGCAGAAGAGAACAAGGAACAAUUUAUAAGGAAGUAAAGAAAAAAUGAAUAUAAUUUCUUCUAGUAUAUAUAUGUAUACUAUAUAUACAUAUAUAUAUAUAUAUAUAUAUAUAUAUAUAUAUAUAUAUAUAUAAUGUGUGUGUGUGUGUGUGUGUGUGUGUGUGUGUGUGUAUGUAUGUGUUUUUCCUUGACCUGGUAAUUUGUUGUUAAUAUUUUGAAUCCUCCCUGAUGUUCUGCUGGACAUAUGACAAUAUUCUCUUUUGUUUUGCUUUAUUUUGUUUUCUUUUUUCUUACUUUUUUUUUCAAAUAAAAGCCAAAAAAAAAAUCUUUUGAUAUUGUCAACUGAACUAAAUUGACCUCUAACCUGUGGAUGGCUGAAGCUGAACAGAGAAGACUAGAGAAUAGAGUCAGAAAUGAAAGAGAAGUUUAAUUUCAACGUGAAGGAAAUGACUUUCAAGUAAAGAUACAUGCACUAGGACCCCAUCCCUACUUGGGGAACUUGAGGCAUUGUGGAGAGGUCUCAAUACUUAUACCAGUGGUUACUUAGUGAGCUGUAAUCCUGGAAAU
rnacentral:lncRNA from 1 species